GAAUAUUGGUCAAUGGGCGCAAGCCUGAACCAGCGACGCCGCGUGGGCGAUGAAGGCUUUCGGGUCGUAAAGCCCUUUUCUGCGUGACGAGGAAGGACGGUAGCGCAGGAAGAAGCGUCGGCUAACUACGUGCCAGCAGCCGCGGUAAAACGUAGGACGCAAGCGUUAUCCGGAGUUACUGGGCGUAAAGGGCGUGUAGGCGGCGCUUCAAGUUCGUCGUGAAAGACCCCGGCUCAACCGGGGGAGGUCGAGGGAGACUGAGGCGCUGGAGGACGGUAGAGGGACAGGGAAUUCCGGGUGUAGUGGUGAAAUGCGUAGAGAUCCGGAGGAACACCAGUGGCGAAGGCGCUGUCCUGGGCCGCACCUGACGCUGAAACGCGACAGCAUGGGGAGCGAACGGG
rnacentral:rRNA from 1 species